rnacentral:sRNA from 2 species
GUAUAGCCCUGAUGGAAACGGAAAUCCUUUUUGGCAAAGACGUGUUGUCUUUUCUUAAUUUCCCCAAAAAGAUUGAAGUGUACAGCAGGACCAAAC